ensembl:lncRNA
UUCAGGGGGGAAGUCUUUACUAGAGCUUGGUGCUUUCCGAAUCCCCUUCUCGGCUGAAACGAAUGGCCAAAAGACCGAAGACGUGACGAGCACCGUCCUCAACUAAUGGAGAGACUUCUAGUCGGGUCACUAUAUCAAGAGGAGGUGGAUGAGCAGGACGUUUCCUGUAAACUGGCAUGACUUACCUCCUUGAUGAUCCGAGCCUGACUCAUGGAAAAAGAGUGGAAGGAGGUGUAAAAAAACAGCUACCGAUAUAACGGUAGCCGUGAAGAGUCUCUGCGGGAGAGAGGAGACAUUUGUCGAUUGGAAACUGACUGAGUGGGAUCCUCUCAUCUCCGGCAUAUUCCUGUCCAGGUCAGCGGCACGCUAAACCUGGAAUGAGAUCAGGGGCGGCUUUAGGUGGCCGUGUGGUCUCAGAGGUUUUGGGCGAAGGACGGCAAUUAGAGCGGGUGCCGUCGCUUGUCUUUGGUGGAGCGGCAACCGCGUGACUGGGAGCGGGGCUUUGCACGGCGGGGCUGGUGAGUGACGAAACCAGAGCCCUGCCACUGGGAUGGCGUGUACAAUCGGUAGGCAACCCCCUCUAGCCUGAAAUAUAUGCAGCAGCCAGAGGAGAAGAGG